AUGCAGACAUCACAGGAAGAUGGAGGGAGAAAUAGCGGCCUCCCUUGCAGUCCGGCAGUUGUAGCCCGUCAUCUCCAUUGUGGCGGCGGCACUGCAUCAGGCAGUAGUGCCCUUGUUGAGAGGGCGGCGGCGCCUGUUGAGACGGCGGCGGCGCCUGUUGAGACGGCGGCAGCGCCUUGCAACACCCCGUCCUCCUCUUGCAACGGCGGCCCCGCGGCGUCUCCGGCUUGGUUACUCGGGAUUUGCAGCCAAUGGGGUUAUAUGGGACUUGGGAAGAUGGAGAUACGGGAGGAUUUGUGA
rnacentral:rRNA from 1 species